rnacentral:tmRNA from 2 species
GGGGGCGACAUGGCUUCGACGCCGGUGACAACCUCCUAGGUGCAUGCCGAGAGCGUGAUGUAUCUCGUAAAUCCAACAUCACGACUAAAUAGUCGCAAACGACGACACCUACGCUCAGGGCGCCCUGGCAGCUUAAACCUGCUAGCGGUUAGUCCGGCCCCAAAGCGAUGUGCCCAUUCAUCGCGGAGGGGAUACGAGCUAAAAAUGAUGGGAUCGCGGUUGGCGACGUCCUCUCGUCAAUCGCUAAACCUUCGAGGAAUCGCGUCGCUGGAUCCUGCCCGUCGGAGCCAGUGGCGUUAAAUGAAAAGACGGACCUAAGCAUGUAGAGCCGAAGAGCGAGUGCCGGCGGACGCGGGUUCGAUCCCCGCCGCCUCCACCA